rnacentral:rRNA from 1 species
UUUCCCCGUGGAUCUAGCAUAUCAAUAAGCGGAGGAAAAGAAACCAACAGGGAUUACCUCAGUAACGGCGAGUGAAGCGGUAACAGCUCAAAUUUGAAAUCUGGCUCUUUCAGGGUCCGAGUUGUAAUUUGUAGAAGAUGCUUCGGGUGUGGCUCCGGUCUAAGUUCCUUGGAACAGGACGUCAUAGAGGGUGAGAAUCCCGUAUGUGACUGGUUGCCUUCGCCCAUGUGAAGCUCUUUCGACGAGUCGAGUUGUUUGGGAAUGCAGCUCUAAAUGGGAGGUAUAUUUCUUCUAAAGCUAAAUAUUGGCCAGAGACCGAUAGCGCACAAGUAGAGUGAUCGAAAGAUGAAAAGCACUUUGGAAAGAGAGUUAAACAGUACGUGAAAUUGUUGAAAGGGAAGCGCUUGCAACCAGACUUGCAUGCCGUCGAUCAUCCUGGGUUCUCCCUGGUGCACUCGGCGGCGUUCAGGCCAGCAUCGGUUUCGGUGGUUGGAUAAAGGCCUUGGGAAUGUGGCUCCUCUCGGGGAGUGUUAUAGCCCUCGGUGCAAUGCAGCCUACCGGGACCGAGGACCGCGCUUCGGCUAGGAUGCUGGCGUAAUGGUUGUAAGCGACCCGUCUUGAAACACGGACCAAGGAGUCUAACAUCUAUGCGAGUGUUUGGGUGUUAAACCCAUACGCGUAAUUAACGUGAACGGAGGUGAGAACCCUUUAGGGUGCAUCAUCGACCGAUCCUGAUGUCUUCGGAUGGAUUUGAGUAAGAGCAUAGCUGUUGGGACCCGAAAGAUGGUGAACUAUGCCUAAAUAGGGUGAAGCCAGAGGAAACUCUGGUGGAGGCUCGCAGCGGUUCUGACGUGCAAAUCGAUCGUCAAAUUUGGGUAUAGGGGCGAAAGACUAAUCGAACCAUCUAGUAGCUGGUUCCUGCCGAAGUCUCCCCCCCUCAGGAUUAA